rnacentral:rRNA from 1 species
UACGUAGGGGGCAAGCGUUGUUCGGAAUUACUGGGCGUAAAGGGCGCGUAGGCGGCACGGCAAGUCGGGAGUGAAAGGCCUGGGCUCAACCGAGGAACUGCUUUCGAGACUGCCGAGCUAGAGUGCGGAAGGGGCAACCGGAAUUCCCAGUGUAGCGGUGAAAUGCGUAGAUAUUGAGAAGAACACCUGAGGCGAAAGGCGGGGUUGCUGGGCCGACACUGACGCUGAUGCGCGAAAGCGUGGGGAGCAAACGGG